UUGAUCCUGGCUCAGAACGAACGCUGGCGGCGUGGAUAAGACAUGCAAGUCGAGCGCUGUUUAUAGUGUAGCAAUACAUUGUAAACGGAGCGGCGCAAGGGUGCGUAACACGUGGGUAAUUUACCAUAAAGUUGGGGAUAACUCGCUGAAAGGCGAGCUAAUACCGGAUGUGAUAAUUUGGCGGCAUCGCUGGAUUAUUAAAGUUGGGGAUCGUAAGACCUGACGCUUUAUGAUAAGCCCGCGGCCUAUCAGCUAGUUGGUGAGGUAACGGCUCACCAAGGCUAAGACGGGUAGCUGGUCUGAGAGGACGACCAGCCACACUGGAACUGAGAUACGGUCCAGACACCUACGGGUGGCAGCAGUCGAGAAUUUUUCACAAUGGGGGAAACCCUGAUGGAGCGACGCCGCGUGGGGGAUGAAUGGCUUCGGCCCGUAAACCCCUGUCCUCUGGGAACAAUGUGCACUGUUU
rnacentral:rRNA from 1 species